rnacentral:rRNA from 1 species
UACGUAGGGUGCGAGCGUUAAUCGGAAUUACUGGGCGUAAAGCGCACGCAGGCGGCUUUUUAAGUCAGAUGUGAAAGCCCCGGGCUCAACCUGGGAAUUGCAUUUGAAACUGGCCAACUAGAGUACGUGAGAGGGGGGUAGAAUUCCAAGUGUAGCGGUGAAAUGCGUAGAGAUUUGGAGGAAUACCAGUGGCGAAGGCGGCCCCCUGGCACGAUACUGACGCUCAGGUGCGAAAGCGUGGGGAGCAAACAGG